AAGUCGUAACAAGGUUUCCGUAGGUGAACCUGCGGAAGGAUCAUUACCGAAGUACGGGCCCUCUCGUAGGGCUAAACUUCCACCCUUUGUGAACUACACUUUGUUGCUUUGGCGAGACGCCCUCGUGGCCACCGGCUCCGGCUGGUGCGCGCUCGCCAGAGAAAACCCAAACCCAAACCAUAUUUAGUGAUUUGUCUGAAAACAAGUUUAAUUAUUUAAAACUUUCAACAACGGAUCUCUUGGCUCUG
rnacentral:misc_RNA from 1 species